UACGUAGGGUGCAAGCGUUUGUCCGGAUUUAUUGGGCGUAAAGAGCGUGUAAGGCGGCUUUACAGGUCCGUUGUGAAAACUCGAGGCUCAACCUCGAGACGCCGGUGGAAACCGUAAAGCUAGAGUCCGGAAGAGGAGAGUGGAAUUCCUGGUGUAGCGGUGAAAUGCGCAGAUAUCAGGAGGAACACCCGUGGCGAAAGCGGCUCUCUGGGACGGUACUGACGCUGAGACGCGAAAGCGUGGGGAGCGAACAGG
rnacentral:rRNA from 1 species